GUUUGUCUCACCUGCGAGGGCGGGACAAGUUACAACUUCCAGCAGAGCAGAGGGCUAAUUAGUGAGAUUGAAAACACCUGUGUUGGUGUGCAGGGUUUUAAAAUUAUACUGUGUUGUGAUAUAUAUGAACAUAUGAUGCUGCCACAGAUUACUUCUGUUUGGAAUAGUGUAAAUAAUUAUAAUAUACGUGUCUCUGUAUAUAGACAUGUAUUCAGUUUGUGUUGUCAUAGUUGACAGACAUUUGAACAAUCUGUGGGAUGCUUUUAAUGUCAAACCUAUUGUAAUUACAAGGAAAUAAAACACAUAUAUGAUCAAUAAAAA